GCGCAAGAAACCUAACGGGAGCUCCCUCGUCCCCACCAUCAUCAAGGCAUCUCAGAUUCAACUGGGAGAGGGCAAGCUUCACAAAGGGAAAACCCGAAAGCCAAGAUCAGAGAAAAUAAGAAAUAUCAAGGGAGACCUUCCAGUGGGUUCAAAGUCAACCAGUCCAUUACUUCGAUCUCCAGUCCAAUUAACAAGUUCACCAGGAGUUAAUAUGC